CGUUGGGCCACUGUAGGAGUUCAAAUGCGCUCGGAAUGGGAGGGGCUACAAAGUAAUAUUCAGUUGGUUGUUAUAUACAAUUUCACCGCAAGAUGGAAGGAAUUCUUACACAAUGUAGCUUUAAAAGUUGACCUUUUAA